rnacentral:lncRNA from 1 species
CCAUGGAUAUUCCACGCCCUGGGGGUGCAGUUUGCGGGUCUUUGCUCCCACCCCGAGAUUCCCGGAGGAAUUCGGAUCCUCGGGGCGGGAUCAGGGAAGCGGCGCUGCCUGGGCUGUGCUCGGGGGCGGGAUCAGCGCCGGAGCGGGGCGGGAAGAGGAAGGGAAACUCCUGGGGGAGGGACCGAGAGCUCGGGAGGGCUCCUCGGGAGGGAUCCGCUCCCGCUGGGUAUUGGUGUGGAACGAGACCGGGCGGAUCCCGCAGCUCCCGGCGCCCUCGGCCAGGAUGUUCCACCCGUCGGGCUGCAGGAGGAGCUUCCCCAGGGAGCCUGCUCCGUGGUGGGAUGGACCGUGGCCGUGUCCCCCUGAUGGCCCUCAGGACGCCUGGGACAAGCCACCAUGGGAUGAACCA